UUUUACCUCUAAUUCCCCUAUUGGGUCCUGCCCCUCUGCCCCUAGUGGGGCUCAAUGACAAGCUAUGCAGCCAACUUUCCAUAGAGAGACGGGUCACAACUGCCUACCAUUCCCAGACCAAUGGCCUGACAGAGCCGCUUAAUCAGACACUAUGUCAUGCCAUUGUUAAGUAUGAUAACGGGACACAAGAUGAUUGGGACACAUACUUGCAACAGAUUGCAUUCGCAACCAGGACAUGCAUACAAGCCUCAACCAAAGAAACUCCUUUUCAUCUUACAUAUAUAUGGAGGAGAGGCAGUACUCCCAGUCCAAUUGGACAUACCUACAACUUUGUCUCCUGAUUCUGAUAUCAAUGCUGACGACUUCCAGGAGAUUUUAAAUGACAAAGCUGCAUCUUUCGCAGAACUGUUGAACUUGCAGAUCCUUGCUAAGGACAGGUUCAGAGAGGCACAAAAGAGACAGAAAACCCACUACGAUAAACAGAACAAGGGAAAAGAGCAUGUAGUUGGAGACAGUGUCUUAAUCAGAAACAAGAAGAGAGUAAACAGGAAAGGGGACAAACUGGCAUCAAAAUGGGUUGGACCUUUCGUUAUGUCUGCCUGCAUCUGAAAAAGGGUGUAUAAAUUAAGUAGAGGGAAGAAAAACAAAGAUAAACAUCAAAGACAUGAAGCUGUAUAGACAAGACGAAGAGACAAAGACUGCAACAGGUGCAAAGAGAAUGAAGAGAAAUCACAGAAAAGUUUAGUCCGACAGAACAACUAAACAGAAACAAGCAACAAAGAAAACAAAGACAAGAAAAAGACUCAAAGUUCUGCCAUCAGAGACAAAGAAAGAGAAAAGAAAGAGCAAUGCUUUAAACAGAAAGACCACAGAACCGAAAACAAAAUCCCAUCUUCCAACACCUGUCAAAGGGAUACCUGAGCAUGUAAGGACAAUGGAGAGCAGCACCAAGCUGAAGGUAUUCCAGAUAUGCAGCAAAGCCUCGGUACAACGACCAAGCAAUCCUACCAAGGAUGCUGUUGCUAAGUCACCAAUCCUUUCUAUUAUCAUGGAGGCUGACCGGAGACUCGGGGAGGAGGUUGACCGGAGACUCGGGGAGGAGGCUGACCGGAGACUCGGGGAGGAGGUUGAGCUUUGCCAGAAUGCUAUGCUUUCUUGGUAUAUGACUGCAGAUCUCAAGACGGAAUUAGUCGACACACUUGAUACAUUCAUGUUAACUUCACCACUCCUGACAACCUCAUUCCAUGACAACAUUUUUAUUGACGAUAUAUGCUUAAGACUAUACAAAAUGUGCCUACCUCAACAUUACCAGCUGACUCACCUUGCAAAGUUCUCAAAACUUCAACAAAAGUGACCAUUGGAAACAACAUUAUAACGGAGGGACCUGUGUACACUUUAUCCUGAUAAGUGGCUGAAUGAUCAGGUUAUCCACGCCUAUAUAUAAGGACUUUUGAAGUCAGGUUUCAAUUUCGUCCUCCACAAAGGAUGCUAUGUUCCUCCCUUUUUCCUAGCGACUAAGUGAGAAGCAGGGGAAUACAAUGCUUGGCUGUAUCCAAAGGUGAAUUGGGAGUCGUACCAGACUGUAUUGUUGCCCGUUUGUCACCAGCACCACUGGUUUCUCCUGGUUGCCUCCAUGGAGACUGCUACCAUCUCUGUGCUCGACUCCCUUCCUCAUGCAGGAAGAGCACAAAGAUUCAGCUAUCAUUGGAGAUUUCCUUCAAGUGCUAUUCACAGCUUGGUACCUCCAGAGAGGUAUAAAACAGUUCUAGGAGUGCACCCCAUCCACUCUAGCAAACCUUUACACCACAGUUGUAAAGUCAUAUCCUAAGUUAUGGGCAGGUGAAGAGGAGCCCC